rnacentral:misc_RNA from 1 species
AACGCACAUUGCGCCCUUUGGUAUUCCGAGGGGCACGCCUGUUCGAGCGUCAUUUAAACCAUCAAGCCCCGCUUGGUCUUGGACGCGGUCGAGCGACCCGUCCGUAACCCGUUGGCGGUGCAGUCCGGCUUCAAGCGUAGCAAGAAUUUCGCUUCAGGAGUCCGCGGCGGCGUCUGCCAGGAAACACCACCCAAAGUUUGACCUCGGAUCAGGUGAGGAUACCCGCUGAACUUAA